ACAUUCAUGUUCAUGUGGGUAAGAUGGCUGCAGUCAUGUUCAUCACCUGAUGCAGAGUUUGCAAACAAACACAAUUUUGCCAAAAGAAUCUGUGAACUGAGGUACCACUGUAUAUGACUUCAAAUUUUAUUCUUUUUAGGGUGAAAUGGCACAGACAUCAAAAGGAUCCUGCAGCUCAGGAAAGAAAUAUGAAUCAACUGCUACACCCUCCCACCGAGCCUAGCCGACCCGGCCUCAGUCCUGAACUGCAGCUGUGUCACCCACUUCCAUACAGCACCAGUGUGCCUCUUCCCUUCAAACUCAACGUAUUUCAAACAGAGACUCUCACCUCAAUCCAGUGCCUCCCUCUAAUAGUGUCUGACACUUGAAACCCCCACUUCUGGAACCUAAAAAGCCCUAACAGUCUUAACCCCAACCAAUGCUGUAUCUCUCCUUUUGUUCAUUCUCCUAAGUUAGUCUCCCUGUUUCUCAAACUUACCUCAGGUUUUCCUUCUUCUCCGCCUUCUUUCAUGCAUUGCCCUCUUUUGCAAGGUUCACCCCCGUAGUGUCUAUCCAUUCCCUAAGGUGGGUCUUUAUCUUUUUUUGCUCACUAUUUCUUCUUGAAGCCGUGCCCAGUGAUAUCUAGCAGUCCUCUCUCCUCUAGGCUGCUCCAGCCCACUAGGCUGGUAAGUCAUUGUCGAGGGGCAGCAGCCGCA
rnacentral:lncRNA from 1 species